UACGUAGGUGGCAAGCGUUGUCCGGAAUUAUUGGGCGUAAAGCGCUUGUAGGCGGCUUGUUAAGUCCUGUGUGAAAGCCCUUGGCUUAACCAAGGAAGUGCGCAGGAAACUGGCGAGCUUGAGUGCCGGAGAGGGUCGCGGAAUUCCCGGUGUAGAGGUGAAAUUCGUAGAUAUCGGGAGGAACACCAGUGGCGAAGGCGGCGACCUGGACGGACACUGACGCUGAGACGCGAAAGCGUGGGGAGCAAACAGG
rnacentral:rRNA from 1 species